GGUUGCGAUCACACCAGCACAAAUGCACCGGAUCCCAUCAGAACUCCGCAGUUAAGCGUGCUUGGGCGAGAGUAGUACUAGGAUGGGUGACCCCCUGGGAAGUCCUCGUGUUGCAACCC
rnacentral:rRNA from 1 species